ensembl:lncRNA
CUACCGGACAAGUUCACCUUAGGACCUAUGCUACCGGUCAAAGAUUUUAGAACACCUGCUCAUUCAAGGGUUUUUCUUUAUGUUUAUUUCCUACGUUGUAGAACAAUAGUGAAGACAUCAAACCUUUUUUUUUUCAAAGCUGUCAUCAAGGCAAAAGGUGGCUAUUUGAAGAAGCUCAAAUCUCAAAUAUAUUUAGAUUUAUUUAACACUUUUUUGGUUACUACAUGAUUCCAAAUGUGUUAUUUCAUAGUUUUGAUGUCUUCAUUAUUAUUCUACAAUGUAGAAAAUAGUUUUUUUUUUUUUUUUAAAUGAGUAGGUGUUUGAAAACCUUUGACCGGUAGUGUACACUAUAAUUAUGAAACAAAUAGUAUAAUAAAAUGUAUGCUCAUUAUUAUGUGAAGCUGUGGUUGAACGUACAGUAUCUAUACUAAAGAGGUUUCAAUAAGUCAAGACCAUAACGGAAGGAGCUGAACCACAUUCACAUCUCAUGACAUCAUAUUAUAAUGAGGCUCAACAUGAACACAAAAACAGAAGUACCAUUCAGAGGGGGUUCAGGUAUGGAUACACAUUGUGUCCUGUGUGUGUCACACACACACAUCUAACUCUGAGCUUCAGUCCACACACACUCAGGUGGGUGUUUAAUAACAGUAUAACCCAGGUGUGUUUACUAACAGUAUAACUCAGGUGUGUUUACUAACAGUAUAACCCAGGUGUGUUUACUAACAAUAUAACCCAGGUGUGUUUACUAACAAUAUAACCCAGGUGUGUGUACUAACAGUAUAACUCAGGUGUGUUUACUAACAGUAUAACCCAGGUGUGUUUACUAACAGUAUAACCCAGGUGUGUUUACUAACAGUAUAACCCAGGUGUGUUUACUAACCGUAUAACCCAGGUGUAUGCGUCUGAUGACACUAGUACUUUUUUCAGGAACCUCCAUGGACAGCAGGGCCUCUGGGUCUCUCCUGGGCCCGUCGCCCCCGACGCCCAACACAACCACCUGUACCACCGCCGUCGUCAUGGAGAAGCCGUCAGUAACGGUAAAG